CAAUAGCGUAUAUUAAAGUUGUUGCAGUUAAAAAGCUCGUAGUUGGAUUUCGGGGUGGCCUGCCUGGUCCACCGCAAGGUGAGUACUGGUCAGCCGCCCUUCCUCUCGAAAGCCCCGACUGCUCUUCAUUGCAGUGGUCGGGUAGUUCGGGACGUUUACUUUGAAAAAAUUAGAGUGUUCAAGGCAGGCUAUCGCCUGAAUACAUUAGCAUGGAAUAAUGGAAGAGGACCUCGGUCCUAUUUUGUUGGUUUCUAGGGCCGAAGUAAUGAUUAGGAGGGACAGUUGGGGGCAUUCGUAUUUAAUUGUCAGAGGUGAAAUUCUUGGAUUUAUGAAAGACGAACUAGUGCGAAAGCAUUUGCCAAGGAUGUUUUCAUUAA
rnacentral:rRNA from 1 species